rnacentral:rRNA from 1 species
GUAGGUGGCAAGCGUUGUCCGGAAUUAUUGGGCGUAAAGCGCGCGCAGGCGGUUCUUUAAGUCUGAUGUGAAAGCCCACGGCUCAACCGUGGAGGGUCAUUGGAAACUGGAGAACUUGAGUACAGAAGAGGAAAGCGGAAUUCCACGUGUAGCGGUGAAAUGCGUAGAGAUGUGGAGGAACACCAGUGGCGAAGGCGGCUUUCUGGUCUGUAACUGACGCUGAGGCGCGAAAGCGUGGGGAGCAAACAGGGCUUAGAUACCCUGGUAGUCCACGCCGUAAACGAUGAGUGCUAAGUGUUAGGGGGUUUCCGCCCCCUUAGUGCUGCAGCUAACGCAUUAAGCACUCCGCCUGGGGAUACGGCCGCAAGGCUG